rnacentral:tRNA from 1 species
GGAGAUAUGGCUCAAUGAUAAAAGAGUGCCUGCAUAGCAAGCAGGAGGCCCUGAGUUCAAAACACUAGUACCACCA